rnacentral:rRNA from 1 species
UAAUACGGAGGGGGCUAGCGUUGUUCGGAAUUACUGGGCGUAAAGCGCACGUAGGCGGCUUUGUAAGUUAGAGGUGAAAGCCCAGAGCUCAACUCUGGAACUGCCUUUAAGACUGCAUCGCUUGAAUCAUGGAGAGGUUAGUGGAAUUCCGAGUGUAGAGGUGAAAUUCGUAGAUAUUCGGAAGAACACCAGUGGCGAAGGCGACUAACUGGACAUGUAUUGACGCUGAGGUGCGAAAGCGUGGGGAGCAAACAGG